GCCUGGGUGGCUCAGCUGGUAAAGCGUCUGACUUUGGCCCAGGUCAUGAUCUCAUGGUUCGUGGGUUCCAGACCCACGCUGGGCU
rnacentral:tRNA from 1 species